rnacentral:lncRNA from 1 species
CUAGUACCUCACGCACGCUAGGCAAGUGCUCUACCACUGAGCCAAGACUCCAGCCCCCAACUGGCAAUUAUUAUACAAUGUAAAAUUGUUGUCUUUUUGGUUCCCAUUUUUCUUGGACAAUGUACCCCAACUGUACCCUAACAGCAUAGAAUAUUAAUGUUUGUCUAGAUGUUUGUAACCAUUCUUUGACUUGUACUCAACUAGGAUAGUUUUGAUCCACUCUCCUUCUGCUUAUAAUUUUAGACCUCAUGAUUUUUGUUUAUGGUUUUAAAUCAUAGCAACAGCCACUUAAGAUCAAUAUACUGACAUGCAUUAAAAGGUGUGCUCUAACCCUUCAAGGGUGUCAUAUGGUGGAGACUUGCAGCCUGCUCCUUGGCCCGCCAGCUGGUGAAUGUGGACCACCAGCUGGUGAAAAAAGAUGGUUCCAACUCAGGCUUCAAGACUGAGCUGGUGAUUUAUUGCAAUCUUGCCAUAACAUCAACACUCUUUUAACUGUGUAGCAAAGUAACUUGUUUAAGACCACAUUGGCAGAAAGUAUAAAUCUGCAAUUUGAAUUCAAUUAUCUGUGACCCCAAAACAGUUUUGGGCUACUGAAAUUUCCUGGGGACUUACUGAGAGAUAAGAAGUCUCCAGGAUCACUGGAUAUCCCUAGCUUAUUAUGAUAUUAGCAUUUUCAGCUAAUAAACAGCCUUAAAUUUUGC